rnacentral:tRNA from 1 species
GUAAAUAUAGUUUAACAAAAACACUAGAUUGUGAUUCUAGAGAUAGAGGUUAGACCCCUCUUAUUCACC